GUAACGGGGCUAAACCAUGCACCGAAGCUGCGGCAGCGACGCUGAUACGUUCGUUGGGUAGGGGAGCGUUCUGUAAGCCUGUGAAGGUGUCCUGUGAGGCAUGCUGGAGGUAUCAGAAGUGCGAAUGCUGACAUAAGUAACGAUAAAGCGGGUGAAAAGCCCGCUCGCCGGAAGACCAAGGGUUCCUGUCCAACGUUAAUCGGGGCAGGGUGAGUCGACCCCUAAGGCGAGGCCGAAAGGCGUAGUCGAUGGGAAACGGGUUAAUAUUCCCGUACUUGGUGUUACUGCGAAGGGGGGACGGAGAAGGCUAUGUUGGCCGGGCGACGGUUGUCCCGGUUUAAGCGUGUAGGUGUGUGUUCCAGGUAAAUCCGGUUCACUUUAACACUGAGGCGUGACGACGAGGCACUACGGUGCUGAAGCAACAAAUGCCCUGCUUCCAGGAAAAGCCUCUAAGCAUCAGGUAACAUCAAAUCGUACCCCAAACCGACACAGGUGGUCAGGUAGAGAAUACCAAGGCGCUUGAGAGAACUCGGGUGAAGGAACUAGGCAAAAUGGUGCCGUAACUUCGGGAGAAGGCACGCUGACACGUAGGUGAAGUGAUUUACUCAUGGAGCUGAAGUCAGUCGAAGAUACCAGCUGGCUGCAACUGUUUAUUAAAAACACAGCACUGUGCAAACACGAAAGUGGACGUAUACGGUGUGACGCCUGCCCGGUGCCGGAAGGUUAAUUGAUGGGGUCAGCGCAAGCGAAGCUCCUGAUCGAAGCCCCGGUAAACGGCGGCCGUAACUAUAACGGUCCUAAGGUAGCGAAAUUCCUUGUCGGGUAAGUUCCGACCUGCACGAAUGGCGUAAUGAUGGCCAGGCUGUCUCCACCCGAGACUCAGUGAAAUUGAACUCGCUGUGAAGAUGCAGUGUACCCGCGGCAAGACGGAAAGACCCCGUGAACCUUUACUAUAGCUUGACACUGAACAUUGAGCCUUGAUGUGUAGGAUAGGUGGGAGGCUUUGAAGUGUGGACGCCAGUCUGCAUGGAGCCGACCUUGAAAUACCACCCUUUAAUGUUUGAUGUUCUAACGUGGACCCGUAAUCCGGGUUGCGGACAGUGUCUGGUGGGUAGUUUGACUGGGGCGGUCUCCUCCUAAAGAGUAACGGAGGAGCACGAAGGUUGGCUAAUCCUGGUCGGACAUCAGGAGGUUAGUGCAAUGGCAUAAGCCAGCUUGACUGCGAGCGUGACGGCGCGAGCAGGUGCGAAAGCAGGUCAUAGUGAUCCGGUGGUUCUGAAUGGAAGGGCCAUCGCUCAACGGAUAAAAGGUACUCCGGGGAUAACAGGCUGAUACCGCCCAAGAGUUCAUAUCGACGGCGGUGUUUGGCACCUCGAUGUCGGCUCAUCACAUCCUGGGGCUGAAGUAGGUCCCAAGGGUAUGGCUGUUCGCCAUUUAAAGUGGUACGCGAGCUGGGUUUAGAACGUCGUGAGACAGUUCGGUCCCUAUCUGCCGUGGGCGCUGGAGAACUGAGGGGGGCUGCUCCUAGUACGAGAGGACCGGAGUGGACGCAUCACUGGUGUUCGGGUUGUCAUGCCAAUGGCACUGCCCGGUAGCUAAAUGCGGAAGAGAUAAGUGCUGAAAGCAUCUAAGCACGAAACUUGCCCCGAGAUGAGUUCUCCCUGAGACUUAGAGUCUCCUGAAGGAACGUUGAAGACGACGACGUUGAUAGGCCGGGUGUGUAAGCGCAGCGAUGCGUUGAGCUAACCGGUACUAAUGAACCGUG
rnacentral:rRNA from 1 species